rnacentral:rRNA from 1 species
GUGCCAGCCGCCGCGGUAAUACCGGCAGCACGAGUGAUGGCCGAUAUUAUUGGGCCUAAAGCGUCCGUAACUGGCCGGACAAGUCCGUUGGGAAAUCCACCCGCUUAACGGGUGGGCGUCCGACGGAAACUGCACAGCUUGGGACCGGAAGGCUCGAAGGGUACGUUCGGGGUAGGAGUGAAAUCCCAUAAUCCCGCACGGACCACCGAUGGCGAAAGCACUUCGAGAAAACGGGUCCGACAGUGAGGGACGAAAGCCAGGGUCUCCAACCGGAUUAGAAACCCCUGUAGUCC